rnacentral:rRNA from 1 species
AUUGAACGCUGGCGGCAUGCCUUACACAUGCAAGUCGAACGGUAACAGGUUAAGCUGACGAGUGGCGAACGGGUGAGUAAUACAUCGGAACGUGCCCAGACGUGGGGGAUAACGUAGCGAAAGCUACGCUAAUACCGCAUACGAACUGAGGUUGAAAGCGGGGGACCGUAAGGCCUCGCGCGUUUGGAGCGGCCGAUGGCAGAUUAGGUAGUUGGUGGGGUAAAGGCUUACCAAGCCUGCGAUCUGUAGCUGGUCUGAGAGGACGACCAGCCACACUGGGACUGAGACACGGCCCAGACUCCUACGGGAGGCAGCAGUGGGGAAUUUUGGACAAUGGGCGCAAGCCUGAUCCAGCAAUGCCGCGUGCAGGAUGAAGGCCUUCGGGUUGUAAACUGCUUUUGUACGGAGCGAAACGGCUUCCACUAAUACUGGGGGCUAAUGACGGUACCGUAAGAAUAAGCACCGGCUAACUACGUGCCAGCAGCCGCCGUAA